rnacentral:ncRNA from 1 species
ACGAGCAUCGCUCGCGCCGCUUAUAUAUGGUCAUAAUAUGGUUGACUGUCUCUACCCGACACCGUAAAUGUCGGACUAUAAGCAAAAAGGACAGUUGU